rnacentral:tRNA from 1 species
CGCAGAGUGUUAGCAAUGGUAGCUAGUCAGUCUCAUAAGCUGAAGGUUGGGGGUUCGAUUCCCCUCUCUGCAA